UAAGGGCAAGGAAAUAAACAGAGCACGUGAGGGAGGAAAACACAACACGAGACAUGGAACAGAGCCUGACACAAAGGAUGAGGCUGUGAAGAAUCAGUGGUUAAAAUUCAUCUUUACUAAGGUAUAACAGCAGUAUAAUCACAACUUUUUUGCUGUGUUCUUGUCAUUUCACUGACGACUGCUUCUUCAAUCUCCACGAGUUCAAUGCGGGAUUCGUAAACCGGUUGUCUUUGAAAGAUGGGUCAGUGCCCAGUUUGUUUGGAACAGUUUGCUCCUCCGAAUCACAACCUCUAAGUAUGAUUAAUAAUUGUUACUUUGAUGUUCUGUCGUGCAGCAUUCUGUCGAGAUGUUCAACUUACAGUGCAGCUGUAAGUCUCUGGCUAACUCAUGUUGUAGUUCUGCUAAUCUGCUGUGGGCCUGCUAUUGUCUAGAAAUGUGUAGAUUAAUACAGUACAAAUGUCUGUUGUACUUGGAGUCAUAAUAAAGGAUGGAGCAAUACGCUGGUUUAGAAAUUGCAGUGCUUUAUCAGUACUCUUUUGUCUGUGAUCUGUGGGUCCGGUUCGCUAACAUAAGAGUAAAACUUUUUCGCCUCUGAUUCCUUCUUUUUAGAACAGAGUGGAGCACUAUAAUUAUUAUAAUAGGAUAUAUUUUCUAUACAUAUGCAUUA